rnacentral:lncRNA from 7 species
AUGGGCUGGGGAGGGCUGGGCUGGGACAGGGACUGCUGCGUUGCCUGCCAGCUGCCCUGCCCUUUCUCUUGUCCCUGCAGGCUCCAGUUCAACGUGUGCCUUCCAGGCGUGAUCAUCCCAGGCUGCAGGAGAGCAGCAAAUGGCCACAGCACAUCGGUGUCAGGUGCCCGUGAGCUUUGCGGAGGUGGCCGUGUAUUUCAGCAGGGAGGAGUGGGCGCUGCUGGACCCUGCGCCAGCGAGCGCCUCUACCGGGACGUGAUGCUGGAGACGUACCAGUGCGUGGCCUGGCUGGGUGAGGGCUUUGCUGCCUUUCCUCCUCGUUAGGGCUCCUUUGGUUGUGCAGGAUGACUUUCUGUAUUCCGAGCCUACACUCGGAACGCUCUGCAGUUUCUUCCUAACCAAUGCCACAACAAUAGAAACAAACGGAAAGACAGAGAAGUGUGGGAUGUAUAAAGGUCUUACUGUGCUCAGUACUGUGAUAAAAGCCCAGGGGUCAGUGCUGGCCAGCAGGCACCAGUCAGCAGGGGGAAGAUCAGCUUACUUUAAAAACC